CCUACGGGAGGCAGCAGUGGGGAAUAUUGCGCAAUGGGCGGAAGCCUGACGCAGCGACGCCGCGUGAGUGAAGAAGGCCUUCGGGUUGUAAAGCUCUGUUGCAGGGGAAGAACGUUAUAUAUGCGAACAGCAUAUAUAAUUGACGGUACCCUGCGAGGAAGCCCCGGCUAACUACGUGCCAGCAGCCGCGGUAAU
rnacentral:rRNA from 1 species